CUUUAAUAAACAUGGCUCCACCUGCAGAUGCUCCCAUUACAUUUAUAAGAGGCCUUUUUUGUUUAUCCGACCAGCCAUUAGAAACAAUAGACACUCCCCUUUUCCUCCAUGAAUCUCUAAUAGGCUGAAGUUUUCUAUUGAUAUGCUCUUUCUCUUGUGCAAGCAAUGUUGUACACAAUCGAUUAUAAGUAGGAGGGGUAUAACCAGCCAAGUUACCAUUAGCCAAAGUUCUACAAAACUGUCUGAAAUAAGGAGAUUUUGCAAAGUUGAACGAUAAUGCACUAGUGAAGAACAUUCUGGCUGCCUCUUUGUCAGCCGUGUCCCUCUGCGCCAUGUUGAAGGUCUUUUCUAGAGGUCCAAGUUCUCCUCUUUUUUUCCUUUUCUGUGGCAGUAAAUCGAAAGCACUCGGUAAUGAGAUAUAUUCUGUCAUUUUUCUUUCAUUGACCUCAUCUUGUAAUUUUUUCCUCUCGACUUGUUCGUGUUCCCUCUUGAUUGAUUGAUGAAUGUGAUCUGUUAUGACUUUACAGCACUCAACUCCAUGAUUUGGAAGUUUUAGCAAAUGAGCCUUCACUUUGGUGUAAGAUCCAAUCACCUUUUUACUGCAAUAGUUGCAACUCCAAGUCUGAUUUCCGCCUUCGCUUACUGACGUGGUGAGUACUUUCACAUAGUUCCAUAGUGGCUUAUCAUCGAAUUGAUUUGCACAAAGAUUUGAUGGUCGUUGAGGUGUUUCUAGUGUAGAGUUAGAUGGAUUCAUUAUUUGAAAUUAGGAAUAUGCAAGAUUCUAGAAUUUUUUUGACUAGAUGUUUGAUUGAAGAAAUAUGUUCUUGUACAGGAAGAUGAACUUGACUGAAGAAAUAUGUUGAAGAUGAUCUUGUGAUUAAUAUGAAGAAUCUGGAAGUCUGGUGCAAAUAUGUUGAAGAUGAAUAGAAAUAUGUUGAAGAUGAACUUCUGAUUUAUAUGAAGAAUUUGGAAGUCUGGUGUAAAUAUGUUGAAGAUGAACUCGUGAUUAAUAUGAAGAAUUUGGAAGUCUGGUGCAACUAUGUUGAAGAUGAACUCGUGAUUAAUAUUAAUAUGAAGCUAAUACGUCAGAUUGCAAUACGAAGCGUUAAUACAGUAGUGAAGAAUCUGGAAGUCUGGUGCAAAUUAUGGAAAAGGAAACUAAUUGGCGG
rnacentral:lncRNA from 1 species